rnacentral:rRNA from 1 species
GACGUAGGGUGCAAGCGUUGUCCGGAUUUAUUGGGCGUAAAGAGCUCGUAGGCGGCUUGUUGCGUCUGCUGUGAAAACCCGAGGCUCAACCUCGGGCCUGCAGUGGGUACGGGCAGACUAGAGUGCGGUAGGGGAGAUUGGAAUUCCUGGUGUAGCGGUGGAAUGCGCAGAUAUCAGGAGGAACACCAAUGGCGAAGGCAGAUCUCUGGGCCGUAACUGACGCUGAGGAGCGAAAGCAUGGGGAGCGAACAGG